rnacentral:lncRNA from 1 species
UUUUUUUUUUUUUUUGUAAAUGUUUAUUACGUAGGUUUUACUUCUUUUUUUACUCAGGUUCUAUUUUCCUUAUUGCUUAAGGUAAUAAUUAAACACAGAGCAAUUCAUGAAUCAAAGGUCACUCGAAUUGCUAGUUUAAUGGUGAAUAGGUAAUGAUAGAGUUUAUGGAUAUGAAGAAAUAUUAGCUGGAUACUGUAAGUGUCAGAGUAAUUUAUAAUGUUACAUUAGAUGUGAUACUUCUGUCAUCUGUCUGCAGAAGCUGUCGAAGCAAGAAAACAAAAAUCAGCAGUGAGAUGAGAGUGGGUCCCUAAAAGAAAUACCUUAAAUGACAUCUGCAAAUCUAUUCUGUGAUAAUGCUUGAAAAUUUAUAUAUAAAAAUCUCUGGCGGUCCACACUGGCCAGUGUCAUCUUGCUUAUUUUGUUAUUUUUUAUGCUGCUGUUCAUUUGAGUUACAGAUAGUCUAUGAUGGUUGGCAGCAGUUAGCAAUAGUGUAGAAAGGGAUGUAAUAUGCUACUUAUCUUUAUUAAUAAAGGCUUCUGUAAAAUCCAAAAUUGUGUUAAAAAUUCCCAGCCAAGUCACUAUCCAUAGGAAUGAAGUUCAUCCUUUUUUGAGUUUAUUUAAUCUGAUUAAACUUUUCAUGCUUUAGUAUCUGCGUGCAUAUUUCCAUGUGCAGUGGAUGCAUAUGCCAUGUGCAGGAUAUAAGCCCCAUUUUUAAGCUUAGAGUUGCUGAGAAGCAAACCUCUGGUUUGCAGGAGCGCAUAGCAGAUGCCAUUCACUUGUGCACAUCUGACUUUAGUGCUGGAAAGACUCGACUCUGUCUCAGAAUGGACGGAACAUUAUUCAUCUUUGUGUCAGAGAGACCUUGUCCCGACUUAGGGUGAAGCUAUUUUGCGCAAGCACAUUAAAACAAAUAAAUAAAUAAAGGAUCUCUCAUCCUACUUAAAAUAUUUAGAGGUAGGAAUGACGGGAUUAAAAGACAUUGUGAUUUCCCAAGAUCUGGCAUAAAGUUUGUGUCAGAAUGAAACACUGAAGACAGAUGACAUAUUGAUAGCUCCUUAUACUUCAGCAUCACAACAGCAUAUGAAUAGCAAGAAAACAUUUUCAGGAAAGGCAAGAUAAGUCCCUACAAAACUUUAGGGCUAUAAAAAAAGGCAAAAAGUUUUUAAGCUUUCUGGACAGUGCAUAGGGAAAGAUACGCUUUUCCAAAUGAAAUCCACAUCAGGCAGCAGAAUGAGCAGGUAGCUGCCAGAAGCCAACAUUUGUCCAGUUAGAGAUGGGUUAGGUGAGGGGAAGUGCUGAGAUGAGGAGCUGGUUUUAAAACUUGAAUCUCAGAACUUCACAGACACCCCCUUGAAAUCAGCAGCCUGAGAUACUGUCUUGCUAAUAGGUAUGUAUUUAGGCUGUCUGAAAAGCAAUGGUUUCUUUUUUCAAAAUAAUUGAGUGGUUGCUUUGGGGUUGUUUUUUUCAGUGUGCGGCUGCAGUUCUGAAUUAGCACUUUCAGACAGUGAGUCAUUCUGUUCUCAGCAUACAGGUGACUAAAUUCUGCUUGAAUCCCUUCAGACACAUAAGCAGGGAUGGGGUGCAGGAAAAUUUUGGGUGGAAGUUCACUCUUAAUGCUUGAAGUGCACCUUUUCUCAUCUUAAAGGAAAGCCAUAAGAGUAAGUCAAAGUUCCAUAUCCUUGUCUUAGGUUGUUUUCUAUUUCUUGUGCAGUCCUGAGGGAAAAAAAAGCACUGGUUGCUAAAGCAUUUUCUGCCAAUAGGGAGGCUAUGGGCAGCUUAAGGAGUCUGUAUAAGUGAUUUAUCUUUAAUUUUGUGAGCUGGCAAUUCUAUUUAUUUGAAAGAAUAAAGUAACACGGUGUUAACUUUACAGUAAACUGGGAGCUGCUGCUGAAAGUUGCCAGUUGAGCAGUGGUCCAGUGAGCCCAGUAAUUCAGAAGGUAAUUGUUCUGGGUUUUCCAACAGCUAGACUCAUGUUAGUCUUGUGGGCAAUUAUCCAUCCAAAUCAAUUCUUAUUUUGCAUAUAGUUCACAAAAAAAUGAAAAAGAUAUAAACAGAGGCAGUGAAAUACCUGACCAGUAGGUGGAAAAUAGUAAGAAACCUCAGAACAUCAGUAUAUUCAG